GAAAGUUGUUGAAGGGCCGAUUGAAUAAAAAUUCUCCUCUAAUUAGAUACACUUCUUGCCAUACUUCUCAGCUUGUAAAGAGGAUUAACACUUGAAUAUUUCUAACUGAAGCAAAGGACUAAUCUAUGUAUGCCAUAACCUGUCUCAUACCAGGUGCUUCCCUCCAUCUCCCAAGGAUCCACUUCCCUAGCAAAGCCUUUACUCAUGCAACAGCUACACAUUUGGCUACGCCGAUUAUAGGGACGGGGCCCCCGGCAAUUUCGCAGAUGUCAGUCUAAAAAGCGAGCCCGUUUCCUCGUUUUUAGCAGAGCCUGAGUGGCCAGGCACCCAGACAAGCUGAACCGUGCAGUCCACCUUCACUAGUUCCUCCUCGACCUUCAAGCACUAAAGUACGAGCUUGGAGGCCACAUUUCCUGUCGUAAUAGCUUUUAUGCGAAGACUGCAACCUGGAAGACAGUAUCGUGUUCCUCCAGCGAGUAUGCUUUGCUGGUACAUGGCGCCCUACCGCAAAACCCUUUACCAGCUCUAUUGUUCAUUCUGGUGCUAUCUGUAUAACAGAUAAUCCCCCUGCUUACCAAGGAAGGUUCAUUGGAGUCCCGCCGCUCUUCUUUGUCUGCGAUAUACGAGCUCUGUCUCGGUGAAGUUGGCCCAACUAUUAAAACUGUUUAUUUAUGAAAUUUGUCAUAUUAAAUGUAUUAAAAACUAAAAUGUACUUCUGAUAAUAUUCGAUAUUUUUAUUUAAUAUUAGCCUAAAAUACGACAUAUUUUGUAAAAGAGAAAAAAUAUCUUAAAAAAAAUUAAAAAACUGCCGAUUAAGGUAUAAUUAAUAAUAAAAAUUAACGAAACCAAAUAGCAGCAAAUCAGCACGGCGUUACAUCGAUUUUUCGACUGAUUACUGCUUUUAUACGUCUUUACAUAGGGUCAACUAAUGUCAACUAAUAUUUGGCAGUCAUCUGGUGUAAAACUGUUCCAAAUUUCUUGGAGAUUCGUAAUUCUAGAACGGUUCUU